UACAGAGGUCUCAAGCGUUGUUCGGAUUCAUUGGGCGUAAAGGGUGCGUAGGUGGCGAGGUUAGUCAGGUGUGAAAUCUCGGGGCUCAACCCCGAAACUGCACUUGAUACUGCCUUGCUAGAGUACUGGAGAGGAGAUUGGAAUUUACGGUGUAGCAGUGAAAUGCGUAGAUAUCGUAAGGAAGACCAGUGGCGAAGGCGAAUCUCUGGACAGUUACUGACACUGAGGCACGAAGGCCAGGGGGAGCAAACGGGG
rnacentral:rRNA from 1 species